rnacentral:rRNA from 1 species
GCUUGUCUCAAAGAUUAAGCCAUGCAUGUCUUAGUGUAAAUAACUCUUAUGAAACUGCGAAUGGCUCAUUAAAUCAGUUAUCGUUUAUUUGAUGGUCCCUUACUACAUGGAUAACCGUAGUAAUUCUAGAGCUAAUACAUGCACAAAGGCCCGACUCACGGAGGGCUGUAUUUAUUAGAUUCAAACCAACACUUUUUGGUGAUUCAUAAUAACUUGUCGAACCUCAUGCCUUUUAUGGUGGAGGUGAUUCAUUCAAAUUUCUGCCCUAUCAACUUUCGACGGUAGGAUAGAGGCCUACUGUGGUGAUAACGGGUAACGAAGAAUAAGGGUUCGAUUUCGGAGAGGGAGCCUGAGAAACGGCUACCACAUCCAAGGAAGGCAGCAGG